rnacentral:rRNA from 1 species
UACGUAGGGGGCUAGCGUUGUCCGGAAUCAUUGGGCGUAAAGCGCGCGUAGGCGGCCAGAUAAGUCCGGUGUGAAAGUCACAGGCUCAACCUGUGAAUGCCGCUGGAAACUGUCUGGCUUGAGUCCGGAAGGGGCGAGUGGAAUUCCUGGUGUAGCGGUGAAAUGCGCAGAUAUCAGGAGGAACACCAAUGGCGAAGGCAGCUCGCUGAAACGGUACUGACGCUGAGGCGCGAAAGCGUGGGGAGCGAACAGG